AAAUAAUUUGGCACUCUCCCACACCUAUUUGUUGAGUAUUUAAAGACUUAAGCUAUUGGUUCAACUUCAGGACUUAAGUUAUUGGUUCAAAAGUACACAAGUCAGGAGGAGACUGAUACCCCACUGAUACAAAGCUACUUCCCAUGUCUUAUGUAUGUAUCUAAUUUGUCCCCUAUGCUCUUAGGUUUCUCCUAACCAGAGUUGGCUUGUACGAGGACAUGGAUCAUAAGGGUGGAUUAUUAAUGAAGACAAGGACAGCACUUUUCCUGUAAAGGCAACCACCAUAGCAAGAAUUUUCACUGCUAGUACAAGGUGCAUCUAUUCAUUUAAGAAUAGAGAUGACAUUGAAACAAACACAAUCCUGUACUUUGGGCCCAUCU
rnacentral:lncRNA from 12 species